rnacentral:lncRNA from 1 species
UUACCAUUAUACAUGUCUGUUGUCCCUUUUUUUGUUUUAAAAUAUUCAGAUUUAAUAGCUAUAUUCCUGCGUAUAAAUGGUUAUAUUGCUUUCUUAAACAUUAUUACGUUAUUACAUAGCCUGUUGGGAAUCAGCUGUUAAGAUAUCUAUGAUAGACUUUUCUGAUCCAUUGUGGUGUGUUGAAAUUAUCUGGAAUUUUUAUUAUUGCAUGAUAAAUUGACUUUUUUUGUGGGGUCAGGCAAGCAUGAGAAUAGAGGAUAUAGCUAUCCUAGUAGGGAAUAGUUUUAUAGCAACCAACUGAUAUUUGCUUUCCCUUACUUCAUUUAUUCAUUCUUUAAAAAUAAAAGAGGAUAUUCUAUGUGCUAGGCCUUAUCUGCAACAAAAGCGGCUUUAGGAUAAGAACUUGGUUUUAGCCUGCNNNNNNNNNNNNNNNNUAAAGCCACUUUUGUUCUAAUGGAAAGACUUAAAUAAUAAGCAAAUAAAUGCAUACAAGCUGUAUACAACACAUUGCGUAGGGAUAAACACCUUUUAUUGAAAGAAGUCUGUAGCUAUGAGGGAAAUGGAAUAAUAUGGUAAUCGGAAAGAAUAUAGGCUUUGGGAUCAAGAUGCUGGUUGAAAUUCUAUCCCUGUCUCUUACUAGAUGUGAGGUUAAGUAAGAUCCUUAACUUCUUUGAGCUUAGUUUCAUCCUUUGUAACAAAUAUAGAGAAUUUUAAGAAGAUUAAUGAGACAUGUUAGAAGAGGGCAAAGUUUCAAUUAUGUGGGAUGAAAAUGUUCUGGGGAUCUAGUGUACAGCAUAGUGACUAUAAUUAAUAAUAAUAUAUUUUAUAUUUGAAACUUGCUAAGAGUAGACCUUAAAUGUUCUCACCGCUCCUGCCAUGCACACACACACACAGACACAAAAGGUAACUGUAAGAUGAUGGGUGUGUUAAUUAGCUUACUUUUAAUUAUUUAACAGUGUAACUUAUAUCAAAACAUUGUAUACUUUGUA